ensembl:lncRNA
CUAGAAGUUUAGAAAAGGUGACAUUAUUACAUUCCUUUCUUAAUGUGAAAAACAACUCAGUUGAAGACCACUUUGCCUGUGGUGACGACUUUGAACAGCGACUUUAUUUAUUUUUUUAAUUUUGCAGCUCGCACAGGUAGCAUUGAGAUUAUGUCUGCUGAACUCAGCAGUCAGAAGCUUGCACUUGUGAGAGGACUAUCACAGUUAUCAUCCAACCGGAGGUUUGAGUGACUCUGUCUGGAUGCAUUUCCUUCGUGUGUUUGUCGUCGUUGUCGUCUUGUAAACCGAAGUGAUGAUGUAUGUGACUGUGACAGCGAACCAAGUAGAAAAAAAAACGCGCACACAAAUUGUUACAGUAUAGUGGAAAAAUGAAGUAGACUGUUACAAUUCCCAGUUCCUUUCUCUUACCCUCAUGGUGCCUGUGUGUCUCCCUUUUAUGGCCAAGUGUUGGUUGUUGUAUAUAAAUGUCUUUCCAUUCACCCAUCACUCCAAGGUGAUCUGUGCAUCAUCUUUUAUGUGUCUGCUUCCCACCGUUACGGCUCCGAUCCGCCGACCAAGAACCAACAGACCGUGUGAAACUUUGCUGUUUGUGUUUACAAAUGUUAAGAUAAAUCCUGACUUGGAUGUUAAAAAACAAAACAAAACAAAAGGGAAGACAAUGCAAACAGACAGAGGAGCAACAAUCCUCUCACUACACCAUCAGGGGGAUGAAGUAUGAAUCCUCUAUUUUCAGGUCCUUAUCUACUGAAUACUUGAAGUAGGGAGUUCUCCUACCAUGAAAUAGUAAUAUAUGAUUUACAUGGUAGACGACAUUUCAAUUGUGCCCAUGCAUGUUGAUUUUUACAUAAUGUGCCAACUGAAAGUGAUGAUGUAAGGAUAAUCUCCUGUUCUCUAUGCAGAGCGAUUUCUCUACUGUUGUGUCACAAAAAAAAAGGUUUCGGAGACACCAAGGUUUAGAGGCUGGGACUGGUUUCCUGAGCUUAGACGCAAGAGUAAUCUGACAUUGCGCUUCAGUGUGUGGCAGAUUUGAGAAGGCAAGGCUUCAUCGGUGCCUAGAAACAGCUGUGUAGAAAGACUUGAAAAGUCACCGGUAAUUUUCAAAAGCCUUCAGAAAAAAGAAAAAAAAAGCCUACCAUACAUUUUCACUGUAUUGUUGUAAACAGGUUGUUUUUGUUUUAUUGCAUAUCACUGAAAACUUUGGAUUAAACAAAUCACUGUGACCAAUGCCAGAAACGCUUUUGUUUGACGGAACAAAUAUUAUGUUUACUUUUUUAUUAUUCAUUUUUUUUGUAUUUAAGUUAGCUUUAUUUUUUCUAUUGUUUCAGUGCACUGAACAUGCCAGUUUGAGACUGUACUAUUUGUAUAGGUAAAUGUUUUGAGGUGUACAGUAAAAACCUAGGAGCAAACUAAAUGUGUGUCCAGCAUGCUGAAUGAUUAUUCGUGUGAACGUGAGCUAAUCUCCCAUAAAGCAUCAUUCCUCAUACAUUAAUUGCAUCUGCAUCGUGCAUUGUGACGGUGUGAUGUUGUGUUUGAGAGUGAUGUGUGUCUCACUUACUGUGUCCCCUUAGUAGACAGCCUGUGCAGUUCUGUGAGAGUGCAGCAUGUUCUUGGAGUUGCUGGUGUAAAUGCAUUCAGAAAAGAGGGAUGUGUGUGUGCAUAACUGCAAUUUAUUUGUUUAUGAGUGCGUGUAUGUUGUUGUGUGAAUGCACAAGAGAAAACUAUUUAAAAAAAACUAAACAAAAACAACAACAACUUUAUAAAGAGAAAGUCCCUAAAUGAAAAAAAAAGGAGAUUGAGUAAGUUUGGGAAAAAAAAGCAUGGAUACUCUGUAAUGUUUUGUUUUAUAAAAACUAUAGGAGGCUGUCCUCAGUGCCCCAGUUUGCUAUUGUAUGUGCUGUAUCAGAAUAUUACUAUUGAGUGUUGGCCAGCUUGUUUAUAUCCAUCAAAUAAAGGUGACUUUCUUUCUG